ACGUGAAUUUUGUUAGAACAUCACUCAUUAUGCAGCUCUUGCUUCUGUGGCCUUCAUUCGCAUUUACAAACUUCGGAUUGAAAUCUUCAUAGCGGCGUCUAAUAAGAAAACUAUCCGAAAGACAAUAUUAGCACUCAAGGCAAAGCUUCUACUUUAGCAAGUUUUCUCGUUAUUUAACCCGAAGGUACAAGGAAUCAGGCCGGUAGUUCGCUAAGAUUGCACCCUCACAUACAGGUAAUACAGA